UCGUCCAUUGUUCCGUUUCGCCUCUAUGGUUCGUCCUGCUGCAGCUGCACAACCUUCAGCUCCAGCUCCACCACCCGCCCCAGCCCCACAACCAUUGUUCCGGACUACGACUACCACCCCAUUUAGGCCUCCGGCAUCAGCAACUACUACUGCUGCUACAGCAACUGUUGCUACUGCUCAGCCAACUCAACCUCAAGAAUCUAGACCACAAACACCAGCUACUGCUUCUGCUCCUCCUUCUGCCGCCCCUGCACCACUACCGCCAGCACCUCCUCAGCCACAACCACAACCAGCAAUGUCGGUCCCGCGUAGCCCGAUUUCAGCACCACAGCCUCAGCCAGUGCCUGCAGCUUCCCCACGUUCCACUCCAGCAACUCCACCGCCAAGAUCACCUGUUGCUCCUCCUCCACCUGUUGUUUCGCCACCAAAGGCUCCUUCACCACGUUCUCCGGUGGCAGCACAGCCACAACGUGCCCCCAUCGAUGUACCUAAAUCUCCUGUCAUUAAAGCCACCACGUCAGUGCCACAAUCCCCAUUCAAGACAUUAGCUUCUAAUGUGAUAACAGAAAGCGCUCCGCUUGGUCGGUUUAGUAGUCCGUAUUCUUCACCACUACCAUCUCCAAACACAAAAAUGGCAGAUUCUACCCAAACUCUCAUCAAUCAUUCAUCACCAUCAAAAGCUCCAACACCAUCUCAAAAAGUAAUCCAGCCUAAUUUAGUGAAAACCCAGACCUACUCUCCUCAAAUUAAGCCUGCAAUUUCUCACCCUCCAUCCCCACUAAAGCUUCCCCCUCCUCAACUUGAACUUGAGUCCAAGAUUCCUCCACAUGUUGAUCAGAAAAGUGUUGUGGUCCAAGAAACCACGAGGGCUAGCAUGAAUGGUAAUCAUGUCCCGCAGACUACUAGAAAUGGAAAAAAUGUAGAAAAUGGGAAACGGGAAUUGGUUAAAAAAGAUAAAGGGGUUCAGCAGAAGAAGGUGUCGAACUAUGAUACAGGAGAUGACUUUGGAAUGAGUGUUCUAACACUAGCUGGUGAAAACAAGGGAGCUAUAAUGGAGUUAAGCCCUUCAAGGAAGACAUACAGCCCUCAGAGCCAUCAAAAGCAAGGAAGCCCAAAGGCGUGGAGUAGCAGUGAGGAUGAUGGAGAAAAAUCAGGGAGCGAAAGUGGAAGGAAAAGAGAGAAUAAAACGCCAAAUAAGUCCCUUCCUAUGACUGCAUUCAUGAACAGUAAUGUGCAGGGUGUCAACAACUCCAUUCUCCACAAUGCUUCUUGCACUCACCAUGAUCCUGGUGUCCACCUUGUUUUUGCAAGAAAGACCAAUGGUAGGCAUGGGUUCCACAUUAAGGGCAGUCCAAAGAGCUAAAAUAUGUUUAAAAGACAGUCAAACACUCAGAGUCUUUUUCAUGGAGGGUCCUUUUUUUCUAUUGGUAUUUUGAAAGAAUAAAUUGAGUGGUACGAAAAAGGGCAUGGAUUCUGAUUCUUCAUGCAUGGCUGCAACCCACUUCUCAUGCACGAGAAUCAUCCUUGCCUUUGGAAGGACAGAGAGAAUCUAUGCACAAUGCCACUACAUGCAAUAAACCUUUCUUAUGUAUUGAGCAUUAUUAUUGUUCUAUGUAAUUUGUAACUCCAAUAUACAGAGAAUUCCCCAUCUCUUUAUUAAUUUGGAUAUAUUUAGUAAAUAUUGAAUACCAGCUUUUAAGAUAACAAACAAUGGGAACUGGAUGAAUAAUACUAACAGGCUGUAUUACCUUGUAAAUGAAUGUUACAGGGAAUAGAUGACCAUCCCUUUUUUAAAUUUCGCAUGUGAAGAUGGAUUUCAGGUAGAAUGUGUACACACGCUUAUUUUCUGCUCAUGCAUUUAUUUUCACAUAUUCCUAUCGUAUUUGGUAUACUGAAAAAGCAUAGCAACUACUACAUAUCAAGAGAAUCUGUUUUUUGGUUCGUAAUUUGGGACCAUUAGAUAUACAAUUAAACAUGAAGAUCAUUGAAGUCCGUCACUUUAUGGUCAAAUGUUCAUGUAUGAUUUUGUAACUUUAGUUUUUAAUUAGACUGAAAUGAAUAAUAACACAUUCAAACACUUGCAUAUGAAUAUCUAUUUAUUUGCUUUUGAGCUUAGUAAAUCCAAAAGGGGAUUUCUAAAAAAAGAACUACCAACUAGAAAGCGUUUUGUGUAACUAAAGGCCAGUAAUUAGCAGGUCUAAGCAAUAGGUAUAUAAUUGUAAACAAAGCAAGAAAAUAGGACGCAAAUAACCAAUUGCUGAAGAAGACGAAGAGUCCAAUUAUUACCUGCAAAAUCAUUUGUCUAAGGAUAGAGGCGCUGGGUUGAACAAAUUGUCAAAUCGCAAGUGGAAAUUGCUAAGGCGUUCUGAGAUACUACAUUCAUAGAUACACGACGUUAAUUCUUAGGGUUUAGUAACGAUCGAUUGUAUCCAUAUAACGCCUCUCCCAUCUUCUGGCUGCAAGGAAAUUAUUCCGGCAAGGACCUGCAGUGUCUGAAACUUCAUCUUCGUUCUAAGGAGAAGAGGUUAAAUAAGGAGUGAAAAAGGGAAGUUGAAGGGUGGUGUUAAUGGCGCACGGCCGAAAAGGGAAUGGAGAAAACGGUGACCGGCCGACAAUUGAUUUUGGGGCUGUUUGGUUUAUCGAUUUUGGGUUUGGGUUGCUGCAAUGAAGGGAUCUUUUUCUUAUAUAUAACUAUUAUUUAUCAUUUUCUU
rnacentral:lncRNA from 1 species